rnacentral:rRNA from 1 species
GACGAACGCUGGCGGCGUGCUUAACACAUGCAAGUCGAACGGAAAGGCCCUGCUUUUGUGGGGUGCUCGAGUGGCGAACGGGUGAGUAACACGUGAGUAACCUGCCCUUGACUUUGGGAUAACUUCAGGAAACUGGGGCUAAUACCGGAUAGGAGCUCCUGCUGCAUGGUGGGGGUUGGAAAGUUUCGGUGGUUGGGGAUGGACUCGCGGCUUAUCAGCUUCUUGGUGGGGUAGUGGCUUACCAAGGCUUUGACGGGUAGCCGGCCUGAGAGGGGGACCGGCCACAUUGGGACUGAGAUACGGCGCAGACUCCUACGGGAGGCAGCAGUGGGGAAUAUUGCACAAUGGGCGGAAGCCUGAGGCAGCAACGCCGCGUGCGGGAUGACGGCCUUCGGGUUGUAAACCGCUUUCGACUGAGACGAAGCGGGAGUGACGGUACUGGGUAAAGAAGCACCGGCUAACUACGUG